rnacentral:lncRNA from 1 species
GUUCAGGUAGGGAAGGAGGAAGGUGCUUUUCCAGAGGAAGAUCAGGGAGCCGUGCAGAGGCCAGCAGGAGGGGAAACAUCAGGCAUCGAGCAGGUGGCCCAGCUGGCAGAAUUACAGGUUUUUUAAAGCUGGGAAAGUUCUAAAGAUCACCCUGGGUAGACUGACCAGCAAGCGAAUGACCCCAAGAGCUUGACUACCCAAGGUCAUGCUGCUCCACAGAGCUGAGAGCCAAGGAAGGCUACCCAGAAAUGGUCCUGGGAGAAGUU